UACGAAGGGUGCAAGCGUUAAUCGGAAUUACUGGGCGUAAAGGGUGCGUAGGCGGUUGUUUAAGUCUGUCGUGAAAUCCCCGGGCUCAACCUGGGAAUGGCGAUGGAUACUGGGCAGCUAGAGUGUGUCAGAGGAUGGUGGAAUUCCCGGUGUAGCGGUGAAAUGCGUAGGGAUCGGGAGGAACAUCAGUGGCGAAGGCGGCCAUCUGGGACAACACUGACGCUGAAGCACGAAAGCGUGGGGAGCAAACAGG
rnacentral:rRNA from 1 species